UCGCUUCUUAGCUGUUGCUCAGGCAAAGCUGUUAUUAAUUCAGGAGGAGUCUGCCCGAGCAAGAACUCUCGAGAGUCCAAAAUAUUUUGCAGAGAGUAAAUACAAGAAUUAUUCACCUACCACAGAACAGCAUCAGCCUCUGGGUGGAAUGUAGGAGCUGUUUAACAGUGCGCAGAAACAUUUCCCCACAGGUUUGGACAGGAAUUGAAGGAUUGUAUGCCCAAUUGAAACUACAACUGAAAGCAGUAAGUUGGACAGGCCCCCUCCCCUGCCUUGGUACAGGACAGGCUCGGAGGGAAGAGCACCACCUACCACAGUACCACACCGCUUCCUCUAGGAUGCUGGGAGUUUUUCUGGAGCUCGCCCAUCUGACCCAGUCCUCCACAUGAGAUCUGGCAAGAUAAUCGCUCCAAGUGUCUGGGGUCUUGUAAGAUGGCAGGAGCCAAAGGAAUAUGCAGAGCCCUGUGCUGAAGUCAGAGUUCAGAAAGGGGCUACGGUCCGCCACUACAUCUCUCCCGCUGCUUUUUUAGUCAAACCAAUACUGUUUCCUGCUAUGCUCUAGCUGAUUCUGCAGCUGUCUUAAGUUCUUCCAGUCUAGGAUAAGCUCUCUGGC